rnacentral:rRNA from 1 species
AUUGAACGCUGGCGGCAGGCCUAACACAUGCAAGUCGAACGAGUGGCGGACGGGUGAGUAAUGUCUGGGAAACUGCCUGAUGGAGGGGGAUAACUACUGGAAACGGUAGCUAAUACCGCAUACCAUCAGAUGUGCCCAGAUGGGAUUAGCUAGUUGGUGGGGUAACGGCUCACCAAGGCGACGAUCCCUAGCUGGUCUGGGAGGAUGACCAGAAACAAUGGAAAAGAGACACGGUCCAGAAUCCUACGGGGGGCAGCAAUGGGGAAUAAUGCACAAUGGGCGCGAGCCUGAUGCAGCCGUGCCGGGUGUAGGGAGAAGGCCUUCGGGUUUUGAAGGACUUUCAGCAGGGAGGCGUUAACCGCGGAAGAAGCACCGGCUAAAUCCGUGCCAGCAGCCGCGGUAAUAC